GUUGGAAUAACUGUCGUGAUGAAGUGGCACUGGAAGUGGCCAGGGUUUUGCCUUUCUGUCAUACGCUGACUCAGAUAGAUCUCGAGUGCAACAGCUUGAGUGUUUCUGGAGCGGAGGCCCUGCUUAAAGCCUUAAGGUUCUGCCCUGCUCUGCAACUCAUCAGACUCUGGAAGAACAAAAUCUUUGAGGGUGAUGUCCAAAGGCUCGGUCUAAGGGACAGGAGGAUGAAUUUCUCUUCCACCUGAUAUGAUCUGCACUGCUGGACAGUUGAGAAGCACAAUACCAGUUCAUCAGCACCAGUGCAGAUGAACAGUCCAGUACUUCU